rnacentral:rRNA from 1 species
GUAGGUGGCAAGCGUUGUCCGGAAUUAUUGGGCGUAAAGCGCGCGCAGGCGGUCCUUUAAGUCUGAUGUGAAAGCCCACGGCUCAACCGUGGAGGGUCAUUGGAAACUGGGGGACUUGAGUACAGAAGAGGAAAGCGGAAUUCCAAGUGUAGCGGUGAAAUGCGUAGAGAUUUGGAGGAACACCAGUGACGAAGGCGGCUUUCUGGUCUGUAACUGACGCUGAGGCGCGAAAGCGUGGGGAGCAAACAGGAUUAGAUACCCUGGUAGUCCACGCCGUAAACGAUGAGUGCUAAGUGUUAGGGGGUUUCCCGCCCCCCUUAGUGCUGCAGCUAACGCAUUAAGCACUCCGCCUGGGGAGUGCGGCCGCAAGGCUG